rnacentral:rRNA from 1 species
ACUCAAAUGAAUUGACGGGGACUCGCACAAGCGGUGGAGCAUGUGGUUUAAUUCGUCGACAAGCGAGGAACCUUACCUGGGUUCGAAGUGUAUGGAUGUACGCGAGCAGAGACGUUCGCGGACCGUUUAAUCGGAGCCAUAUAUAGGUGCUGCACGGUCGUCGUCAGCUCGUGCUGUGAAGUGUUCGGUUCAGUCCGGUAACGAGCGCAACCCCUACCCCAUGUUGUAUUUUUCAUGGGGGACUGCCUCGGUUAACGGGGAGGAAGGUGGGGAUGACGUCAGAUCAGCGUGGCCCUUAUGUCCAGGGCUACACACGUGCUACAAUGGCUGCUACAAAGGGUCGCCAAGCCGCAAGGCGGAGCUAAUCCCAUCAAAAGCAGUCUCAGUUCGGAUUGCGGGCUGCAACCCGCCCGCAUGAAGCCGGAAUCGCUAGUAACUGUGGAUCAGCCAUGCCACAGUGAAUACGUUCUCGAGUCUUGUACACACCGCCCGU